rnacentral:tRNA from 1 species
GUAGCUCAGCUGGAUAGAGCGCUGCCCUCCGAAGGCAGAGGUCACAGGUUCGAAUCCUGUCGGGUGCGCCA